rnacentral:tRNA from 1 species
GGGGUUGGGGAUCAGUGGUAGAACACUCACCUAGCACAUGUGAGGCCCUGGGUUCAAUCCUCAGCACCACA